rnacentral:lncRNA from 1 species
AUGCCUCCAUUGCCACCGGCUGCCAUGGCCCCGCGAGCGCCCGUCGCUUUGCGGAGGCCUCUGCAGCUGCGCGCGGUGCGCCCCGCCAGGCACAGCGUUGCUGGCCACAGUCCCGUUGGGGUUGAAAUGGGAGGAAAAGGAGCGGGGAUUAACUGGGAACAGCAGGAGCAAAGAAAGCCGUCCCUGCAUGGAAAAGCCACGCACGCGCAUGGUGCGAUUUCUAGGCUGCGGCUGGUGCGGUACCAGCUGCUGGAGGUGGGGGGUCACCCGGAGUCACACACUGCUUCCUGUCCCGGCCAGGACGUAAAUCAGUUCAGGCAGGUGCUUCCUAACAGCUUGCAGAGCCUGGCUGUCCCCCCCCCGUGCCGAGCGGCAGCCGCCUGGGAGCGCUGCGCCGCUCACGUCCCGCCACGCCGGCAGCGGUGCUCGGGGUGCUGGGCGCCCCGUGGCCAGGCGCACGCUCGGACCGGGGCUCUCCGGCACGGCCCCCGUGUUGGCUGGUUUGGGAAGCGCCAGGCUCAUCCUGAGCAAGGUGCUGGGGACUUUGGGGCUGACAGCCCUCUGGCAAGCGGUUCACCAGCUGAUCUGCAGAAAAUCCCAUUAUUCCCCUACCUUUUCCUGCUUCUUCUUCUUCCUUUUCUUCUUGUCCUCCUCUUUUUCUUUCUCCUCUUUUUCUUUCUCCUCCUCCUUGUCCUUUCCCCUCUCUCUGUUGUCUUUAUCUUCCCGUCCAAACCCUACACCAGGGCACAGAGCAAGGCUAGUUGCUGUCGUGCAGCAGCCAGCAGGUGCAGACCCCCGGCCGGGUCCUGCUGCAGCGACCGAGGGGGGUCCCUGUCCCCCCGCAGCCCGGGGGCUCCCACCGCACACUCACAUUUCAGGAUCGUCGACAUUUCGCAGCAGCCGCCGGCUCCCGGGCACGAGACCGUCACACCUACAACAAAGAGAAAUCAGCCAAGCGACUGGAGACGGGACAACGUGCAAACGUGGGUGGGCAAACGUGCGCGGGGGUACAGGUGCCUCAGAGCCCACUUCCAAACUCGGCUGUGA